GUUGAAACACCAGUUCCCGUACGAUCAUCGAAGUUAAGCAACGUUGAGCCUGAUCAGUACCUAGAUGGGUGACCGCUUGGGAAUACCAGGUACAGUA